rfam:Lactococcus garvieae Lg2 DNA, complete genome.
GCCGCUGUAGCUCAGUCGGUAGAGCAACACCAUGGUAAGGUGGAGGUCGAUGGUUCGAUUCCAUUCAGUGGCA